ACAAACGAGCUGUGGAGGUGGAUGAGAUCCGCCGCCGUGGUUCGACAAAAUCGCAGGAGCGAUUUUGAACGCGACGCGAAAGCGGCGCGGCCCCGGAGGGGCGGAGGGCAGGAUGCCCGGAGUAAUCCACCUCCCUCCACCA
rnacentral:sRNA from 1 species